rnacentral:lncRNA from 1 species
UGAUAAAAAAUUUUAGUGCUAUAUCACCACCUUUUAUAUGAGUUUUAAUUUCAACCGUUAAAAAUUAUUGAUUUUGAACUAUUUAGAUUAGAGCAGGGCUACUGUGCUCUCAGGAGCACGGAGGCCUCUGUGCUCCUGAGCCGUUUUUAAUGAUGGAAUUUUCGAAUCGACGAUCGGCUCCGUUAGACUUGAUCUACGGUAUUUGAAGUUUCUAGAAAAUAAUUUUUGCGAUUUUUCGAUAUCAUUUACCCAGUGAUCGAAAGGAUUCAAAAUCAAUAAUUUUAAUGAUUGAUAUCUGUCAUUUUCUAGUUUAACGGUGUAGAAGUAUUCAAGUCAGAGGAAAUUUUGAUAUAAAAUUUUUUAUACUAUCUACAACAAUAUCAAUAUUUCUGAUAAAAAAUUUUAGUGCUAUAUCACCACCUUUUAUAGGAUUUUUAAUUUCAAUUGUUAAAAAUUACUGAUUUUGAACUAUUUCGAUUGCUAGGUAAAUGAUAUCGAAAAAUCGCAAAAAUUAUUUUCUAGAAACUUCAAAUGCACUAGAUAAAGUCUAACGGAGCCGAUCGUCAAUUCGGAAAUUCCAU